UUUUUUUUUUGACAAAUUCUACAAACAGACCUUCCCAAUAUGAAUGAACAAAACUAAGCUUACUUGCCACCUGCAUUCUCCAUGGCAUCCAGGUAGAAAUGAGAGGGUCUAUGGCCUGAGGUUGAGUCAGUGUCCCUGUUGCUGGCAUGUGCAGCACCAGGCAGAACCACAGAGGUGGGAAGGCUGGUAGGAAUUGUCUGUGGUCUCUGAAAAUUUUUGGAAGGGAAAGUAUUUGGUCCAACCAGAAAGUCUCAGCAGGCUUAAGAGCAGAACAAGGUAGUUCUCUGUUACUUCAGUCUGCCCUGGAUGAGACAACAUUCUGGGGUUUCCUACCAUAUACCUAAUGCUAUUAAAGGAGAUCAAAAUACAGCAGUACCUGAAACAGAGUCAGAUCUGGUCCUUCCUGGGCCAAUGUUAUAAUGGAAGAGAGAAAUGAUACACAGGUAAUGCAGUAAAGAAAUAAUAUAAUGGAGGAGUAUGCUUAAGUGGAAUAAAUAAAAGCAGAGCAGAGUAAGACUGGAGAGUGAUGGGGACGGUUAUAUAGAUAGGACAUUUGUAGAAAGCCUCUCCAAGAAGUUGAUAUCCAAGCAGCAACCUCUCAUGGGGCUACUUGAGUUACAGUGCAUAUGGGAGUGGCCAGAUAUACAUGUGCUGGACCUCACAGAAAAAUUGCACUAAAGGCUCUCUGACUGCAUUACUGAAAACCAAUCAUGCUCUGUCACUUGAGCAGAUCAUUUGCAUCUAAAUUCAAAUCGCUGGGCCAUACAAAAGUUGUAUCACUUUGUUAUGACCUAGGUCCUACAGGCUUCAGAUAUUUUAGCACACAGUUACUAGACUACAGGGAGAAGUGUAGGCUUGGGGUGUUCAAGCCACUAGACUCCCACCAACACCAACCCAGUGCUUCUUUCAUUAUGCCACUAAUAUAUACUGGGAGACUGGCAAACCAACAAACAAGACAGCUCCUGCCUAUGAAAAAAGACACAGUUAAAGAGAUGGACAGUCACACGUACAACUAACAAUAGCAUGAUAUCUGAAGUGCUUUAACUGUAGUGUAUAUACAGUGAUGAGCCAAUAUAGGGUGUAUCUACAGUCUUGUCAACUAAUGUAGAUACAUAGGGGCCACCAUUUUCCAACUACAAAAGAGGUUAUAAUCUAGGCAGGAAGAGGAGAUGAAAGCUUAAAAUAUGUUUUACCAUCAACAGCAUUACUAUUGUGCUCCAUGAGUCUCACUCAGAGAGUCAUCUCCCUCUUUCACCUACUUAAGAAACAGUUACAGAACACCAACCAUGUGCCAGGCGCUUAAUGGACACUGUGAUAAACAGGCUGAGGCCCCUGCCUUAGGGAGCUCAAAUCCAGUAGAAGGGAAAGGCUUGUAAACAGACAUUUACAAUGUAUAGUCAUGAAUGUAUAAAGAGAGAAACCUGCAACAGAGUUUUUUUUUUCCUCCUAGGAUUUAGGAAUACUUUACAGCAGAGGCAACAAGGGUCUGGAGCUUGCAUUUCAGGCAACAGAAAUGACAUUAUUCAAAAUCUUGGAAGUUUAGAACAGCAAGAUGCUUUAAAAAACUGUGGUGUAGCCGGAAUACAGAAUAAGUAAUGAGAGGUUAUGGAAGAGAGGCAAUAAUAAAAGCUGACAUUUAUUGAAUCCUUACUGAGCACCAGACACUGUUCUCAGAGAUUAUGGAUGUGUACAUAAACCCACUUCAUUGUCUUGGAAAUUUUAUAAGAAAGUAUCAUCACCAUCCCCAUUUCACAGAAGAGAAAACUGAGAUGGUGAAGUAACUUGCUCCAAGGCCAUUUAGUUAGUAAGCAGUAAAUUUGGAUAAACUCCAAAAUCAGUGCCUUAACUGCAUGGUCACUGAGAAGCAAGAGGUCAGGUUUAAGACUGUUGACUUCAUCAAUUGGCCACAGGGAUCUCCUCAAGGCCCUUAAGCUGGGGGAGGACACAGUAUUUAAUUUUUAGAAGGAUUGGGCUGGCUACAACACAGGGAAUAGGAUUCAAAGUGUACAGAACCAAAAACAGGAUGACCAGUUAGGAGGCCUUUCAACGGAGUGUGGUCUGAUAGUAGGAGAGACAAUGGGUACAGGGGAGCUGAGACAGGCUAUUUAAGGGGAGGAGGCAAUGGCACUUGGUGACAGAAUGCAGGACUUAAGAGAGAAGAAGGUGUAAAGGAUGAUCCUUCACAAUGCAGAUUCAGCCUUGACAGGCAGAUCCUGCCUUUCAGGUAAUGAGAAAAGAGGAUAGUCUUACCAUGGCAAAGAACAGAGUCGUGGAAGAUGGAAGAUUGACAACAGUUCUUGUCAAGUCCCCCAGCCCAGGUGAGUGAAUUCACAAGGUUGAUCCAAAUUACAGCCAUCCUUAAGCAGGCUGUCAGCCUUCCUGUGCUACUGUUUGCUUGCUUUCUCCUUUCUUUCUUUUUUUUUCCUUCCUUCCUUCUUUCCUCCCUUCCUUCCUCUUCCUUUCCUUUCCCUUCCUUCCUAGUGAUUACAAUUAUAUCAGGGCUUUACUGUAAAAUAAUAAAUGCAUGUGCAGAAAAUUCAAGUUACAUGAAAAACACACACACAAAAAAGAAAAGUUGCCUGAAAUCUCACCACUAUUAACAUCUUGGUGAAAGGCUUUCCAGGCAUUUAUGACUGCACAGCACGUGCGUGGACAUACAUUCACAUAUUUAUUGCAACUCUUUAUUUUGGAAACCUCCUGUUUUCACUUAUACUAGUAUGGAAAUAUUUAAAGUCAAUGGAUACGGAGUGAAGUCAUCUUUUUCAGUGCCCAGGUGGUAUUCCAUUGCUUGUAUUUACCAUAGUCUAUUAUGAAUUCCAGUAAUGGAAUAAGAAUAACAAUUCACAAUUGCUAAAACCUAUUAACUAAAAUGUACAGAUUUCAAACCAAAAAAUCAUGAGAUGAGCAAAGCAGCAGGAAAGUAGAACCCAGACUUGGUGUGUGUGGGGGGGUGGGGGGGAGCUGUCAAUAAAAACUGUCUUUGAGUGCCCCAGAUGUUAGACUAUGCAAAACAAGACUUCAAAGUGGCAAUUAUAAAAUAGUCCAAGAAUUAGUGAAUUUUGAAACUUUGCAGCACAUCCCUAAGAAACACUGGGUAGAAAUAACUAUACUUAAUUUAUUCUAAUUUACAAAGUUGGCCUGGAAGGGAUUGAAAUUGGUGGUGAAUGUGUAUAAGCAACAUAGGAAAGAAAGGGCAGAAAAACUAUUUUAAAAAAUACUGACCCAAAUUUUCUCAUACUUGUGAAAAUAUACAAAUUUAAGGGUUGGAAGCUUAAUCUACAAGCUUUGAGAAGUUCAAUGAACCACAAAGUAAGAUAAAUACAAAGAGAUCCACACCUACACAUAUCAUAGUCAAACCAUUGAAUGGCAAAAGCAAACAGAAAAACCUAAGUAGCAAGAGAAAACUACUAUGAUUCUCCUGCAUGCUAGACAUGUAUUACAUUUCCAAUGUUUUGUUGUCAUAAGCAGUGGUGGAAUGAACAUUUGUCUGAUUAUUUCCCAAGGAUAAAUUCCUUGAGGUGGAAUUGUUGAGGCAAGAAUAUCCUCAUUAAAUUAUCCUGUUUGCCCUCUGACCUAGUUUUACCCUUCUUAAGUGGUACUUGCUCUUCUCUUUAAAGUCUCAGAUGCAUGCUGUUCCCUCUUGGAAGUCUCCACCACAUCCAUUCUUUAUAGCUAAUUAUUUCUGGUAUUUCAGGUCUCAGCUUAAAUAUUUUCCUGGAGAGACCUUCCAUGAUCACUCAACCAAAAGCAUAACUCACCCAUCCACUCCCAUUUCUCUCUUUCAUACAACCCCAAUUAUUUCCUUUAUAGCAUUUGCCCCAUUUUGUAAUUGGAGUCAAUUCUGUGAUUCCCUGUUUAAUGUCUCUCUACACCUAUUAAGGCAGGGACAUUGUCUUUCCUGUUCACCACUGUAUAUUAAUACUUAAUACAAUACCAGACACAUAACAGAGACUUAAUAAAUUAGCUUUGCUAAGGCAAAUGCAUGCUAGAAUUUUUAAAGAUAAAAAUCUCUGCUAUAGCCAGCCUGGCCCCCAACUCCAAUGUCAAAGUCUCCAUCUUUGGUUUCAUUGAUCUACUCCUUAUCCUUCUUUCUUUGACAUGCAGCCCCUGUGGCAAUAAUUUAACCUCAUAGCUGGGUUUUGAUAACCUGCUUGGGACGCACAAUAUCUUGCUAGAUAUCCUGGCAUGCCCCUCCAGCUGAGGAUGCACCCUCCAGCAACACACACUGAGCCCCUGCUUAGCAGUGAUCUGGGUCCUCUCUGCAACAGGUCCUCAGGUCAACUAUCAGAGCCCGAUUGUGAACUACUUUAGUGUAGUCAUCAGGACUGAGGGCUGGGCUCCUCUUCAGUCCAUAGGAAAGGCCAUCCUCUCUGCAGUUCAGAAAUCAACACAUGUCUAGAAGAUCUGCGUUAAGAGAGGAGGUCAUGUUACCACAGCUGUCAUAAGAGACUGAGGCACAGUGCUUAUUAGAGCAUAAUACCACACGUGCCAGGUGGAUUUAUGAACAGACAUCAGCAUAACUGUAUGUUCAUUGUUGGUGUCUAUAAGUGGCACUGCCCUCUAUAAGUUGAGGGCUUCAUUUUUGUCAUUUGGGUCUUUUUGUUUGCUUUUGCACUUGUUUUUAUUUUUAUAAAAUAUUGUAGUUGAUGUACAAUAUUAUAUAAGUUACAGGUGUAAAUAUGGUGAUUCACAAUUUUUAAAGGUUAUAUUCUAUUUAUAGUUUUUAUAAACCAUUGGCUAUAUUCUCUGUGCUGUGCAAUAUAUCCUUGUGUAUUUAUUUUAUACAUAGUGGUUGGUACCUCUCAGUCUCCUACCCUCUAUCACUUAUUCCUUGCUUCCUUCUCUCCAUUGAUAACCACUAUUUUGCUCUCUCUGAGUCUUCUCCUUUUUGUUGUAUUCACUAGUUUGUUGUAUGUUUUAGAUUCCACAUACAAGCAAUACCAUAUAGUAUUUGUCUUUCACUGUCUGACUUUAUUUUACUUAGCAUAAUACUCUCCAUGUUCGUACAAUGGCAAAAUUUAAUUCUUUUUUUAUGGAUUAGUAACAUUCCAUUGGAAAAUUUAUGUGUGUGUGUAUAUAUAUAGUAUAUAUAUUAUAUAUA
ensembl:lncRNA